rnacentral:rRNA from 1 species
GGAAUAUUGGUCAAUGGGCGCAAGCCUGAACCAGCCAUGCCGCGUGCAGGAAUGAGGCCCUAUGGGUCGUAAACUGCUUUUGUGGUGGAGCAAUAAGGCGUACGCGUACGUCGAUGAGAGUACAUCACGAAUAAGCAUCGGCUAACUCCGUGCCAGCAGCCGCGGUAAUACGGAGGAUGCAAGCGUUAUCCGGAUUUAUUGGGUUUAAAGGGUGCGUAGGCUGUUUGGAAAGUCAGGGGUGAAAGCCCGGCGCCUAACGCCGGAACUGCCUUUGAUACUUCCGAGCUGGAAUACGGAUGCCGUGGGAGGAAUGAGUAGUGUAGCGGUGAAAUGCAUAGAUAUUACUCAGAACACCGAUUGCGAAGGCAUCUCACGAAUCCGUCAUUGACGCUGAGGCACGAAAGCGUGGGGAUCAAACA